UCUUCUCUAUAUAUACCUCGUCCCGCUCUGCUGGUAUCGGUCAUAGCUUGUUUUUCGUCCUGUUCUUUCUUUUGAAUUACGGUUUCGUAAAGGAGGAGGAGGAGGAGAUCGAAGGGGAGGCCGCUUUGUUUAGGAUGCCGAGGAGAUCUCCAUCUCCGUCGGCAUCAAGGCUGAUCUACUCCACCGCCGAUAUUUGAGAAUGAGAAGGCCAUAAUGAUGACAGGACAUUCACAAACAAAAGAGCAAAAACCAUGAACUAGUAGGUUGAUGGUUUAGAUCUAUAAUUGUGAAUGUUGCUUGAGGGGAAGUCUCUCGUGGGGGAUAAGGUUCUCCUUGAGAACGAG